CCUACGGGUGGCUGCAGUGGGGAAUAUUGGACAAUGGGGGGAACCCUGAUCCAGCCAUGCCGCGUGUGUGAAGAAGGCCCUCGGGUUGUAAAGCACUUUCAGUGAGGAAGAACGCCUGGUGGUUAAUACCCAUCAGGAAAGACAUCACUCACAGAAGAAGCACCGGCUAACUCCGUGCCAGCAGCCGCGGUAAUACGGAGGGUGCGAGCGUUAAUCGGAAUUACUGGGCGUAAAGCGCGCGUAGGUGGCUUGAUAAGCCGGUUGUGAAAGCCCCGGGCUCAACCUGGGAACGGCAUCCGGAACUGUCAAGCUAGAGUGCAGGAGAGGAAGGUAGAAUUCCCGGUGUAGCGGUGAAAUGCGUAGAGAUCUGGAGGAAUACCAGUGGCGAAGGCGGCCUUCUGGACUGACACUGACACUGAGGUGCGAAAGCGUGGGUAGCAAACAGGAUUAGAUACCCUUGUAGUC
rnacentral:rRNA from 1 species